GAGACCCCAGAUCAGGUGGGACUACCCGCUGAGUUUA
rnacentral:rRNA from 1 species